CAAGAAAACACACAACAGUCGUGGCAACCAAAGAAUGUAUCAUUUAUUGCACUCCAGUGCAUUUUAACAUGAAAAUUGAAUCAUUUUCAUUACAAAAGCAGGACAUAGAUUCACUUGGUGACUUUUAAAAAUGUUAAAGACAAAAGUUAUUUCCCAUACACAUUCUCAUGCAGAAAGUUUGGCUUGUUCACAAUUUUGAGCAUUUUAUAGGCGUAUAAAUGAAUCAGGAUGCAUUAACAUUCUGGCUUUGUCUAUGAUCAUGCGACUAGCACUCAGCAGCCAGUAGGCUUGUUCUAUAUCGUGGAAGUGUACAUUUCAGCUUAAAAUGUAGGAAAUAUAAGAUAAAAAGCCACAUUUUAACAACAUAUUACAAGCCCCACAGGCUCAAAUUAAAACCUUCUGUUUAGGGAAUUAAAUCAGUCCUGGAAAACCACCACUAACAACUUCAGUGUCAAUAUUACAAAUUCAGUCAAUAUAAUGAAUUUGUGUAAAAUGACUAAUAAAUGUGUCAUUAUUUGAUUUAUUAUUAAAAGAAUAGGCAAAUUCAUAAUUUGUUCACUGUGUUGGGAAUAGGUUUCUUUUACUGAAUCUUUGGCAGUUCUUGUCUUGAGUUUUAAAAAGUGCUGUUGACACCUUACAAGUGUCUCUUAACUUACAGAGCCAUAUGUGAUGUAUAAAUAUAAACGUUGGUGGAACAUAAUCAUUUAGUUGUGCUGAAAGACUUCAUUGUUUACUAAAAAUAAUGCAAAAAAAAUAAAGGGGUCUAUGUAAUGCGAUCACGUUUUUCAAAAGA